rnacentral:rRNA from 1 species
UCGGAAUUAUUGGGCGUAAAGCGCGCGCAGGCGGAUUAGUAAGUUAAAAGUGAAAUCCCAAGGCUCAACCUUGGAAUUGCUUUUAAAACUGCUAAUCUAGAGAUUGAAAGAGGAUAGAGGAAUUCCUAGUGUAGAGGUGAAAUUCGUAAAUAUUAGGAGGAACACCAGUGGCGAAGGCGUCUAUCUGGUUCAAAGCUGACGCUGAGGCGCGAAGGCGUGGGGAGCAAACAGGAUUAGAUACCCUGGUAGUC